rnacentral:lncRNA from 1 species
UGUCGAAAUGUGUCUUAUGGACAUGAAGUAUUGUUUGUGAUUUGUUCUUCCAUAAUAUCCGAUUCGCAAAGAUCGAUAAUUACCUUUUGUGUUAGGGCCAUUGUGUCAAUUUUGUUUAUUGUAAAUCAGGUGUAAUGACACCUGUAGCGUCGGAUACACCUUGUAAUCGCUCUGUAAAGUCUAUAUCCUGAAUUUACAGGGUGAAACAAUGUGCAUUAAUUAAUUUAACAACCACAACACCAGUGGAGGAUUUGAUCGAUGGUACAUUUGAAUUCUGAUAAGUCCGAUCACAGCUGGUCGGCAAUGUGAAUGUUGUUUCCCUUUGAACCGCGUUGCGCGUCAGUGGAUGCGCGUUGCUUUGCGCAAACUGGAAUAUCAUCUUCGCGACCAGUAUGCCAAAUUAUCUAUUUAGAAUAAAGUAAGCUUUCAUUCUCAACGGUUGAAUCCAUUACAAUGGUCAGGUAAGGGCCACUAAUUGGAUUAUUUUCACUGUCUGUAUGUAAGAUACUUUGCAUCCAAUUAGGCUUAGAGAUCUAAGUAGCGUAGACCUAAACUAAGUUUCCCUUUUUUUCUCUAUGGUUGUAUCUUUAUAGUGGUCAGGUAAGGACUAAUAUACGUUUCCUUCUCCUUAUACCACAGCACCGGUCACAAAUAUGAUCAGGAAUCCACUGUACAUUGUAGUUACAAAACGUAGCUCCGCUAGGAAGACUUCUUUUAUUUCAGCAACUUGCAAUUAGAUUAGGAGGACCGGCAAGCCAGAGUGCUCAUGUCAGGAGCUGCUGACACGGAGGAACCGGAAGCAGGGAGGAGGAACACCGGAUGACUGAAGACCCUGCUUGCCGGCCAUCCCAAUGCUGAUUUCCCAGAGAUGACGGUCUGCAAGAUGAGAUGUCAUUCUGGACGAAGAUACAAUCACUUCUGAAUCCCAAGGAACGGAAAGCAGGGAGGAGAACCGACGGAAGGACUGAAGACCCUGCCUGCAGAGCAAGUCUUCACCAAUUCUUGAGAUUCCUCUUGUUUCGUGUAAGCAGCAGAGACGAUGACAAUAUACAUCACGGAGUGCAGUUGUUCACCAAGGCAGGAACACGAAUUUUAGCAACACUCGACUGAGUUUUACAAUAGCUAGCUCCUGAAAGUUCCCAUAAGUUUCUCUUAAAAUGUCGUCACAUUUUAUUAAUCCGAGGGAUGUAUAAAGAUACCAUCCCAUUCAAAAUCCUUCCGAAAACCUGCUGGAUAAAUUUAAAAAGCUGUAUAUGUCAACUUAUUUAAUCAAUAGGUUUAAGUCCUACCUAAGUGGUCGUAAUCAGUCUGUGAAUAUCGAGGGAACAUGUCAAAGGUAACGCCAACAAAAACGUUGGCUUUCCACUUUUUGCGACGGUGUACCGGUAAUGUACAUUGACUGAUGUACGUACAUUGACUGAUUUCUCGGUGCAAAAAGCGCAAGUGGAAGCAUUUCAACCUCGUGAAGAAAGUUUCUUCUUGUUUGUCGGUGUGUGAACCAAUCCAUGUCAACUUUUCGCGGUGUAUUAUAUGGUGAAGAUUAAAAGCAAACAUCUCUAGAUACCUGAGGGAAUAACUACAUCCCUCCAAGGUUUCAUGUCCAAGCCUUUCGGAAAUCAGAUUUUCCUCUCAUAUGAAACUCGACAAUAAACAAGCUUUUUUGAUUGUUAUUCGCUGUGGGUCUUAAUUUAAAGGACCUUUGGGAGAGAGAGUUGCAUUGAGUUGAAGAGAUGUUUUCUCUUCACACAUGUCGUAUUCUUUUCAAUUUGAGAUUCUUUCUUCGUCGUAGUUAUCUUUUUUUACCAAUUUCAUCAAAUUCAUUUCAGU